rnacentral:rRNA from 1 species
GUCCACGCCCUAAACGAUGUCAACUAGGUGUUGGAAGGGUUAAACCUUUUAGUGCCGUAGCUAACGCGUGAAGUUGACCGCCUGGGGAGUACGGCCGCAAGGCUAAAACUCAAAGGAAUUGACGGGGACCCGCACAAGCGGUGGAUGAUGUGGAUUAAUUCGAUGCAACGCGAAAAACCUUACCUACCCUUGACAUGUCAGGAAUCCCGGAGAGAUUUGGGAGUGCUCGAAAGAGAGCCUGAACACAGGUGCUGCAUGGCUGUCGU